CAUGUUCAGCUGCAUGUCGUUGUGAUGUCAUACCGUUAGCCCUCUUUGUGUGAAUUUCAAAAGUCUUUCCUUAACUCUUCGCGUCCUCUCUCCUCACCUUGGUUGUUUUAAAAUCUGUCCCUCCACAAAGACAUACAGCUGAGAAUGCUCAAUCAAUAAGCCAGUGAUUGGAUGGCAACUGCAGGUUCAGGCAAUAAAUACACACCAAGCUGGUAUGUCAACUAAACAAGGCAGUAAGGCAUUGAGCCACUAAUUGUGGAGUAUUGCUUUGUCUGGGCUGUUGGUGGUUUAAGGCUUUGAUAUGGCUUUUGGAAUUAAUUUGGGGAUUGUGUUCCUUUGCUCAUUGUUUGCAGAACACUCAAGUUUUACAUGGGCUCCACGUGAUGCCCAGAGAAUAAGAGGCUAUGGGUUUUCUGGCUUUUCCAGAAUGGAAGUUGCGCAGAGGCAAACAGGUGGCAGCUAUCCCCAGGAUCAAUUCAGACCAGCCUCUCGUGGCUCUAUCCCCAGCAGCUUUACCUCUGCCCAGACAAAGGGUAAGAGGACCCGUGCCAAGAAUACUGACAUUAGCCUCUCUGGUUCUAUAGCCAGUGGCGCCUCUGCCAUCCACAACAUGCAUCAAACCAAGGCCAGCAGAACCUAUAGUCAAAGUGUCUCUGACCCCAGUGCAGUAAGGCCAGUUUCAAGUUGGGAGGCAAAGAGAAUUCAGCCCUACACUCUUCAUCCAGUACAGCCUCACUCCAGCAGCUCUGGUUUAGUCCAGAAUCCAUAUGGUAUGUUUAAUGUCCACAGUAGACCUGCCUCUAACCUGAAACCAUCUACUCCAAACUAUGGCUCUACCCAGAGUGGAUUGAAGUUCUCCACCUCCAGACAACCCAACCAAGGCCUUGUCCAGACUCAGAGUAGAGGAGCCCCCAGCCUCUAUGGUCAAGCUGCUACCCUCACCCGCUAUGUCCAGGACCUGGAGCAAGGGAGCAGCUUCUCUACCCUGGCUUCCAAGGGACCAAUAGAAAUCUCUGCCCAGUCAAUUUCCACUCCUGACCGUCAAGUUCCCUCAAGUGGUUCUUCAUUUAGACCAGGUCCUCUGAGUUUUGGUUCUACUCAAGGUGGGAGUGCAGCAAAAAGCUACAAGCCUAGCUUCUCCCAAGAUGUUAUGCAAUACCAGAGCAGCUCUGCCAGUAGAAGUGUUUCAACUUCCAAUCAAUAUGCCCAAACAUCUGGCCAGAGACUAGAUGGAGCAAGUCGCGGCAUGCCCACUUCCAGCCUGGCCUCUCGCUCCAGUCUUUUUCGCCCUAGCUCUACAGCUUGUGGAAACUCUUAUGGAGCCUUCAAGCCUGGCUCUGACCCUGGUGCAACACCAAGCCAAAGCCUGUUUACCUCUAACCAGGGUGGAAGGGGUUCAACAUACAGCCAGAAUCUCCUUGCUAAACGUGCCCAAAGGAAGUAUGGCCAAAUGUCUGCUCAUUGGGGGAGCUACCAGCCCAGCUAUGCUGCCAGUAGUGGGCCAGUCUCCAGCCUCUUCAGUUCAACAUUCAUCCAGAAUGCUCCUGCCACAGCCCAGAAGACUGGGGGCAGGUUUAGAGCCACUUGACAACACUAUCAGCCCAGCUAAUGAAGUGAAGUCCAACACUAGCUCUCCCAGAAGUCCCACCCAGAUCCUCUUGUCUAGUAGCUAUGGCCCUACCCUGAGCAGGACCAGCAGUGCCAUCUCAUCCACCCCUCAACGCUUUGCCCAGACCAGCAUCCCAGAAUUGUACGGCGGAUCUCCAAUCUACUGGCUCAAAGACCCUACUCGGUAGGUGUAGUGCCUCCCCUAGCAACUCAACCCAGCUCUUCAAGUGUCGGCAAGCCACAGCCAAACCACACUAUCUGCCAAGCAGAAAGGCCCCAACACUACCUAUGUCUGAGUCCAGAGCUUUAGGGGAGUCCAGAACAUGACGAAGUGGGAUCUGUAGCCACCAGUUGAGGUGCUGUGACCUGGAAGUGUUGUCAGGACUUCUCUCCUUCAAUUGUUUUAAAUAAAAUUGACUUAAACAUUUUAGUCUUGUUUUUCUUUAGUGUUUGCAGACAAAUGUUUUGAAUGCCUUCAAAGGAAUGUCAGUGUGGUAAUCAGGUUGAUUGUUCCAGUAGAAGUUCUCUGGCAUUUGACAGGAUCACUGGAC
rnacentral:lncRNA from 1 species